AUUGAACGCUGGCGGCAUGCUUUACACAUGCAAGUCGAACGGUAACAGGCCGCAAGGUGCUGACGAGUGGCGAACGGGUGAGUAAUGCAUCGGAACGUGCCCAGUCGUGGGGGAUAACGCAGCGAAAGCUGCGCUAAUACCGCAUACGAUCUAUGGAUGAAAGCGGGGGACCGUAAGGCCUCGCGCGAUUGGAGCGGCCGAUGUCAGAUUAGGUAGUUGGUGGGGUAAAGGCUCACCAAGCCAACGAUCUGUAGCUGGUCUGAGAGGACGACCGGCCACACUGGGACUGAGACACGGCCCAGACGCCUACGGGAGGCAGCAGUGGGGAAUUUUGGACAAUGGGCGCAAGCCUGAUCCAGCAAUGCCGCGUGCAGGAAGAAGGCCUUCGGGUUGUAAACUGCUUUUGUACGGAACGAAACGGUCCUGGUUAAUACCUGGGGCUAAUGACGGUACCGUAAGAAUAAGCACCGGCUAACUACGUGCCAGCCGCCGCUGUAAUAC
rnacentral:rRNA from 1 species